GAUGAACGCUGGCGGCGUGCCUAAUACAUGCAAGUCGAGCGAACGGACGAGAAGCUUGCUUCUCUGAUGUUAGCGGCGGACGGGUGAGUAACACGUGGAUAACCUACCUAUAAGACUGGGAUAACUUCGGGAAACCGGAGCUAAUACCGGAUAAUAUUUUGAACCGCAUGAUUCAAAAGUGAAAGACGGUCUUGCUGUCACUUAUAGAUGGACCCGCGCUGCAUUAGCUAGUUGGUAAGGUAACGGCUUACCAAGGCAACGAUGCAUAGCCGACCUGAGAGGGUGAUCGGCCACACUGGAACUGAGACACGGUCCAGACUCCUACGGGAGGCAGCAGUAGGGAAUCUUCCGCAAUGGGCGAAAGCCUGACGGAGCAACGCCGCGUGAGUGAUGAAGGUCUUCGGAUCGUAAAACUCUGUUAUUAGGGAAGAACAUAUGUGUAAGUAACUGUGCACAUCUUGACGGUACCUAAUCAGAAAGCCACGGCUAACUACGUG
rnacentral:rRNA from 1 species